UGGUUUUGGACCCGUGUCUGUCGGUAGAUCCCCCGUUUUUGUGCGGCCGACUACCGACGCCGUGUCCAGUCGUUCCUGUGGCUUUGUGUUACCGUUGCCUUUCAAGUGCUUGCGUGCUGGUACCCGAACUAAGGGAAUUGGUGCUACGUACAUGUUGCCUCGCGGUGGACGCCUUCGGGUGUGCUGCUGCGGCCAAAUGGCGCUUGCGGCGUUGCCUCGUUACUUUGCCACGUUUACGUGGUUGUUGUUAUCAAGGCAACCUUGCUCCCGCUGUUGGUCUCGGAUGUUGCCCACGAUGAAGUCUCAUGGCCCUUUUUGGUUGCCUAGACCCGACCCUAAGAAGCUCUCCGAAUUGAGAACAACCGGAACAGGUGUUGCCUCUACGUAUUCCGCAGUUAGUGGUAUGRUACGCAACAUUUUGCGCCGAUCCUCAAAAAAGUAGGACGAGCUUGGCCCGCUCAAUUGUGACAACCGGCGCGGGGGCUGCUUCUGGCUUGACACGCAAGUGGACGGACGGACGACUCCCGACGCUGGACGUCAACAAGGA
rnacentral:misc_RNA from 1 species